UAGAGUCGUAUUAAGUGUCUAAGAGAUUCAACUUCUGGUUAUACUGGUCUUGGUGGUUAUUCUUUGUAAAUCACCUGGGGAAUUUCUUGAGGAAGUACCCCAAUCUUGAAGCGAUUGUUCCUUUAGCAUAGAUUGUUCCACCUAUCAGGAUAGUUUAUCCCCUAGAUAAAAGUGGUAUACAUAGUCAUAGAGAGUUGUCUCGAAGGUGCUUAUAGAGGUUCUCAAAAGGGUAAAAUAGGAGGUCAGUCUAGAGCCCAUCUAGGUUACAGACAUGGUUAGUUAUAUGCAGUACCUGCUAGAACCCAGCUGAGUCUUUGAAUG
rnacentral:lncRNA from 1 species